rnacentral:rRNA from 1 species
GACGAAGGAUGCGAAGCGUUAUCCGGAUUCAUUGGGUUUAAAGGGAGCGUAAGGCGGCCUUGUAAGUCGAGUUGGUGAAAUCGUCUGGGCUUAACCCAGAAAUUGCCCAUUGAUACUGCAGGGCUUGAGUACAGGUUGCCGUUGGGCGGGAAAUAUGACAUGUAGUGGUGAAAUACAUAGAGAUGUCAUAGAACACCGAUUGCGAAGGCAGCUAACGAAACUGUAACUGACGGCUGAGGCACGAAAGGUGUGGGGAGUCAAACACGG